CUAUAUCACCUUUCCAAAUCCAACCAAAACUCUAUCUAUGGUCAAAGUCCAACCAAAACUCUGUCCAAAAAGUCCAAUCAAAUCAAAACUCUACUCAAAGAGUCUUAAUCCAAUCAAAACUCAACCUUAAAAGCUACUGUUUUACCAAAACACUCUAAAAGAGUCCCGACACCCAAAUUUUGUUCGAAGAGUACAUGUCAGACUAAAAUUCUUUCAAAGGGCUAAGAUUCUUUCAAAAGGCUUAAUCUACCUCAAGCUCGAUCUUAACCCAUAAAGUUAUAGUCAAGAUGAAACACAGCUACACUAAACCCAACUCACAACCCCAGACCUAUAGUUGUCCUAUUGGAUCUUGUAUUAGGACAAUCUUCUCAGGUAUAAUUCUUAAAAUCUUUAGACAUCUUAGACCUCUUAUUAAAUUACGUGCAAGUGACAUCCUCCAUGACCAAAUAUCAUCUAGUCUUAGGCACACAUAACGCAAACCAUUUAGUUAUAAUUAGGACUUAUUUUCUAGUUAAAGACAGUGAAAAUUUUUGCAACGGAAACUCAUGUCUAGCAUGUGAUGUAAAAUCUUGUCACAUAGAUUAGAAAUAAAACGAUAUGUUCUAAAUAUGCCCUUGAGGCAUCUUAUUGAACUAUCAUCUAAGUAUGUCAUUUAUAAAAGAUCACAUUACAUGUUUCUUUGGUUAGUCUUUAUUGUCUUUGCAAUAGAACGGAAUGAACUACUUGAUUUUAAUACAAUUGUUUGACAACACAUUGUUUGCAUCAUUUAAUGAUUGAUAAAAAACUCAAGGUUGUCAUCCUACAAGUAUUUUUCUAGAUGCAUACGUGACAACACGAAACAUAUAAAUAGUUUAUACAAAUUGCUUGUCAUCAAGAAUAAAAAGGAAAGGCAUGCUCUUUAAUCCAUAAGCAAGUCAAGAUGUUGGUUUGACAUGGAUAAGUAAAGGCUAGGCUUAUCUCUAACAAGGUUUAGAGCAUUGAUUCCUCUAAUAUCUUGUUUACUAUUUUUGAAUUAAAUUUUUUGAUUAAAAUGAUUGUUACCUUGAAAUCAGUAUUGAUUCCUAAAAUAUAAAUAAAUUGAUUGACAAUUCAUAAUCAAAUCUUAGUUCUCAACAUUGAAAAGAGGUGAAACCCGCAUCGCUCACAUCUUUGUUUAAAAGAGCAUUUAAAAUAAUGAAAAAAUAAAUAAAGUUUUAAAGUUCUUCAGACAAACGUAAUAAUUGUCUAUGUUUUCACACAAUUUCUGUUUCAUAAAAAAUAUGCAAUGAUAAGCAAUUAUAGACACACAAUUUAAUCCAAUGAUUAAAUUUUAAGAAAUUCAAAAGUGUUCAAUUUUUUAAAAAAAUUUCUAAGUGAAAACUUUUCUAAAUUUCAUCAAAAUGUUGGAGAAUUUAGAAUAUUAUUUCAAUAUUACGAAUUUUCAUUUAUUUCUAUAAAUAAAAAUGAACAAAUUAAAUUGAUAGAAAAUUAAUUGAUAAAAUAAAAAAGGGAUAGAAGAGCUAAAAAUGUAAUAGAUAAUUGUAAAUGUAUUUUAUCACAUAAUACUUAAUAAAUUUUGGAGUAAGUGGGGAAUUUAACUGGUUAUGAAAUUUUAAGAAAGUUAGAGCAUGAAAUUUUUUUAAAAUUUUUUAUGUGAGUAAACAAUUUAAAAAGAUUAGAAUAUCAAAGAUUUCCACUUUAUUUCCAAAAUAACAAAAUUAAAGGAAAAAUGAUGAAACCUCUUAUAAGAAACGAACAUAUUUUCUUAAGAUCUAUUGAAGUGAAAAAACUAUUUAGAGGUUCGAUCAAAGUGUUAAAGAAAACAUAAGAAAAAUUUUAUAUUUAAAUAAUAAAUAAAGUAAUGAGAAAUAUAAGAAUAGAUACCAAUUUAAUUAAGACUAUUAAAGACAAUAUAAGAUUAAUUGAUAUCAUCUUUUGAAUGGUCACUGUGAGAAUGUUAAUUACAUCCCUAUAAACUUAAUUCUGUAAUGUAAACCAAAACUUAUUCUUUUAAGAUCUUUUAGUCAAACUUAAAAUCAUUUUAAAAGAAUAAAUUUAUUUAAGUAAUCAAUCACACCUAAUCAAAAAAAUUUUGAUAAUUACUUUAUUAAUAUUUAGUGAUCAAAUUCACAAAUUCUCAUGUUAUAACAGAUAUAAUCAUCAUUGGUUUAAUAAUUAUAAUAUUGCUUACUAAUUGAAAAGAGAAUUUCUCAAUAUAGACAGGGAAAAAUGAUUAUUCUGAUCUUUAAUGAUUUUGAAGCAAGAAGACUUGGAUCUUAUGAAUUACAUUGGGGUCGAUAGUUAUCGUUUCUCCAUUUCAUGGGUAAAAAUUCCAUCAAGUGAGUUUUAUUUCUUCAAAAUAAAUGUGUUUGAUAUGAUUCUCAUGCUGAUUUUUUACUCUCAAAAUUAAUUUAUCCAAAGUGAAGAGAUUUGGAAGCGUUAAUAUAGUUAGCAUCAAUUUUUAUAAUACGCUCAUAACCUGAAGAAGAGGAAAAAUAGCUCUUCGAUCAAAAGAAAUUUUGCCGUUAACUCCUAAAUUUCUUGCUACACGAGUUAAGUCCGAAAAUUUAGAAGAAUGAAUUCCAAUAGCUCCUCUUCUGGUAGCAAUGAUACCUGAUGUAUACUAAAAAUUUAAACGUAAUAGUCAGAGAUAAGUAUUCAAAAUUUCAAAGCAUAAAGCAAAAUAUGUGUUCAGCAAGCAUUACAAAAUAAAACAGUAACAAGAACUUGAUGAAGAGGAAAAAAGCUUCUCGCAUAAAAGAAAUUAUGUCGUUAACUCCUAAAUCUCCUCGUCCAAAAUUUAGGUCAGAAUAGAUAUUGCCGACUCGUGAAGAAAGUAGAAUUUCACGGUCGU
rnacentral:lncRNA from 1 species